ACGUCAAGUUGAAAUAUUUUAGUUUUGUUUAAUACUUGAUGAAUGUAGAAACUUGAUCAAUAUUUUCGACCUAUCCACCGUUUAAGCUAAACGAGCUUCGAACAACCGGCCCAGGGCCACAAUAACUAAGUAGAGAGCUAUGAGAUAGCUGCACAUUAGUCAGUUUAGAUUUGUACAGAGUUGGUUUUUUUUGCCGCCGUUGUAAUAUUUAUUUCAGUUCUUUGAAUUAUUACGUCAUUCAUGCGAGACGUCAGUUCGCAACCUUUACUCGAAAUUCGUGCCGAUUAAGAUACAGCAGCAAAUUAUCAGCCCCGUAUUAAAUCUGUGCGGGCUAAAGGCAGCAUUAUACGCUAAUUACCUUCAAUCACUAGUUCUUUUCUUACAAUGUUGCUUCUUUCUGCUAUCAGUUUAGAUUCGUUGUUUACUACAUUCUAGCAAACACGUAUAUAUAUAUGAUAUAGCAUGG